rnacentral:lncRNA from 1 species
AGGUAACAGCCUUUUAAAAAAGGACUGGAGUGACAAGGACGGCAAUAUUUUCUCUCACUCUUUCAGGUCUGCGUUUCACCCGUUCUGCAGACGGCCCUUUCCCAAGAGCUGCGCUACCUUGGACAGCUCCCGGCUCUCCUGCCUCCACUUCUCCUAGUCGUGCCACGCAGUUACCACCACAAGGCAGUGGCAUGUCGCUGCAACUCAGUGCCUAAUUCUAC